AGGCGGUGUUAACGGAGAAACCAGUUACUGGAGUUCUGUUGAUGAGAAUGUUCCGUUUCCAAGAUCAGAUGAGGGGUUAUGAUGAGAGUUUCGGUUUUAUAUGGGAGCCUUUACACAUAGCUUGGAGAUCAAAAGAGAAGAGUGACACGGAUCUUUGAAAUUGUCAUAAUGACUUAUCCUCUCAUACCUGAGUUGUUUUUUGUUUCUCGAUGGAGAUGUUGGAGUCUCCAUUGCUUGUCUCCGGGAUCCUCCAAUGUGUAACUCCAACUUAACUGUGUCUUCGCGGGUGACAGAAUUUUGUUUCAGACGAAAUUAAAAUAGAAAGAUAGAUCAGUUGGAGAAUGGAUUACUGCCCUUAAAAACAAAGUUAGGUAUCGUCAGAUGUAAAUCUGCAACUUAAGUCUUCAUUAGGUCUACUGAUUUUCGUUGGAGAUGAUCAAUACAAAGAUAGAUCAGUUUGGAGAAUGGAGCUCUAGUCUUACAAACAAAGUUAGGUGUAAUUUGUUGGAAGUUCUCGAAAUCACAUGUUACACCUGUUGAAAUGCAGAUCUGCAGAAAAUUGAAGAUCUGAUAUAUCGGUAAUGGUUCAAUUAGAGAUGUUUUAAGUUUACCAAAGCAUUCAAUUGGCUUUAGUUGGGAAAUUUCAGGCUGCAUUCUUAUCUGAUUCUCGGAAUGUUGUAUUUGUAACUUUGGAUU